rnacentral:tRNA from 1 species
UUAAUUAAAACCAAAAUAGAGGUAUAUUGCUGUUAACAAUAAAAAUGGGGUGUCCUAAUUAAA